GUUCAGGCCAAGCGCUCACCAUUCUGCAGAAUAAGGACCAGAACUUUACAGAGGUAAACUGUGUCUGUUCUUUUACUAUUACAGCAGGUCAUCGUGGCCACUUUGACAUGUCCAGCUCUCUCAUCAGACUCAUAGACGGCAGCUUUGAGAUGGGUAACCUGCUGUUCCUGGCUGUGGUCAGCCAUUUGGGGGCGAAGGUGCACCGGCCCAGGCUCAUUGCUAUGGGCUGUUUCCUCAUGGCUGUAGGAUCCUUCCUCACAGGCCUGCCACACUUCUUCAUGGGACGGUAAAACAACUGAAAUUAAACUUGUACUUGUAGAGAUACUCCAAUGCGGAGGAUAGUUUCACUUUAGAAAUAAAGAAAUGUAUCCAGUUUUUGAUUAAUCUCAGGUAACUUCGAACUAAAGUCUUGCGUAAUUGGUCAGCUGCUUGAUUAUGUUUUGGGGCCAUACAUGUUAAGAGAAGGGAUUAAGAGAUGCUAUAACUGAAGUGGU